rnacentral:rRNA from 1 species
GACUCUCGGCAACUGAUAUCUCAGCUCUCACAUCGAUGAAGAACGUAGCGAAAUACGAUACUUGGUGUGAAUUGUAGAAUCCCGUGAACUAUCGAGUCUUUGAAUGAAAGUUACGGCCGAAGCCAUUAGGCCGAGGGCACGUUUCCUUGGCGUCA